CCUACGGGAGGCUGCAGUCGAGAAUCAUUCACAAUGGGGGAAACCCUGAUGGUGCGACGCCGCGUGGGGGAAUGAAGGUCUUCGGAUUGUAAACCCCUGUCAUGUGGGAGCAAAUUAAAAAGAUAGUACCACAAGAGGAAGAGACGGCUAACUCUGUGCCAGCAGCCGCGGUAAUACGGAGGUCUCAAGCGUUGUUCGGAAUCACUGGGCGUAAAGCGUGCGUAGGCUGUUUCGUAAGUCGUGUGUGAAAUGCGCGGGCUCAACCCGCGGACGGCACAUGAUACUGCGAGACUAGAGUAAGGGAGGGGGAACCGGAAUUCUCGGUGUAGCAGUGAAAUGCGUAGAUAUCGAGAGGAACACUCGUGGCGAAGGCGAGUUCCUGGACAUUAACUGACGCUGAGGCACGAAGGCCAGGGGAGCGAAAGGGAUUAGAUACCCCUGUAGUC
rnacentral:rRNA from 1 species